rnacentral:sRNA from 1 species
UCGUAGGCACCCAGAGGCGGCGC